rnacentral:rRNA from 1 species
AUGGAUUGUGGGUUGUCUGAUUUGGGUUUCUCUGGUCCGAAAUUCACUUGGUGCAACAGGCAAGACCCCUACAGCAAUGUUCGAUGUCGUUUAGACCGUGCCGUGGCUAACAGUGCCUUCACCAGUCUUUUUGAUGAUUGCGGCAUGGAAAAUGUCAUUGCCACUACUUCUGAUCAUUACCCAAUACUUGUUUACCUAGACCGCGAUUCCCAACAGCGCGCCCCAGUACAGCAAGGUUUUAGAUUCGAAGCGAUGUGGCUGCGAGCGUCUGAUUAUAAAGAGACUCUCGAACAAGCAUGGUCUGCUGGUAGAGAUGGUUGUUUUUCUUUGAGUACAACAUGGGCGAAUUUGAAGGGUGUGGCUGGCUCUCUAUGUUCCUGGAGCAAGGAAGCUUUUGGCUCUAUUCGCAAGAACAUUAGAAAGAUGGAGCGCCGACUGGCUUCGAUUAGGGCUUCUCCUCCUUCCCCAGUAUCUCCAUCUAAAGAAAAGCACAUUGAGAGUCAACUCUGCGAGCUAUUUGAACGUGAGGAAAUCAUGGAACAUCAACGCUCACGGGUGGAUUGGCUAAAGGCAGGAGAUCGUAAUACUGAGUUCUUCCAGUCUAGAGCCCCGUCUAGACGGAGAACUAACAUAAUCCACUCACUUCUCCGGGAGGAUGGUUCAACUUGCAACUCUCAAGGGCAGAUCAAGGGCUUGGUGCAGUCCUACUAUGAAGAUCUCUUCACGUCUGAACCAUGCCCGACUGCUGAUGAGGUUUGCAAGGUAUUCCUAAUAAGGUGUCCAGUGAGAUGA